rnacentral:snRNA from 1 species
AUCCCAAAUCUUGUUGAGUUUUCC